AAGAAAAAAGAACACCUGACACAUCGACCCCGACCUGUUCGAUCCCCAAUCUCACCCCUCUCUCUCUCUAUCUCGCCACCCACACACCCUAACCCUAACCCGACCGCGCCGCCGCUCCCAACCUGCGUGCCUCCGCCCCAAACCACCCGCCAGUCCCUCGCGCCACCACAUCUCGGACCCCGGCCUCCCUUCCCUUAGUCCGCAGUAGUAGCAACGCCGUCUGCGACGGAGGAGAACCGUCCGCCGCCGAGGAACAGCAGCGCCGUCCGCCACCAAGGAUCCACCGCGCGCCGGGAACAGCAGCACCAUACGUCGAAGGAUUCGCCGCACAGAAUGCUAUUGAGGAGCAGCCUGCCGUUCUUCGUCCUCCACUGGCGACCCCUGUCUCGGCCCCGCCUCCAGAUCUGAACAAUCGGGUGGUUCCAGGUCUAGGUCAUGGCAUCAGUGGUGUGGCGUUGUUCUGUUUUCUCAAUGAAUAGCAGUCGCUUGUUGGAUGGGAAUUGCUACUCAGGUGAUUUUCUCAUGGAUGUUUGCACAGGAGCUUGUUAUUGCUUCCAUAUAUACUGGUUUUGUUCAGCUGGUCAAGUUGUUGUUGCUCCCUCCGUUGCGCAGAACAGUACCCCUGGAGAUGCGCGGAGUAGGCUACUCCUCUGACCAUAACAAUUGGCUGCUACUGACGACACGAGCUCACUGAAAUAGGAGAGGAGCUGCACAAGACAGAAAAAGCACAAAUGGCCAAGUACACUUGACGGAAGAUUGACGAAACAGAGAGGAAGAGAGCACAGGAACAUUAUCUCAGCUGUCGUUGAUUUCAGAACAGAUCGUUGGCAUUGUACCUUCAAGGGACUAUCCUUUUGCCUACUGAGCACACAAAACAAAUGCGCCUAUAUAUUUAUUUAAGGGAAACAACAUGCUCCCGUUUUUGGUCAAUCGGUGGAUCUGACUAAUACAUAACUACAUAUAUAUGUGUGAGGAAUUUGCAGCAGGAUCCCUUGCUUGUGCUCUCCGCCUAUCCUCACUCCUUAGACCUUCCCUUUGCUUAUCACCAUACAUUUUAUUUAGAGUGGUGUCAAGAUGCAUCUCCUCUGCCAAGAUGAUGGGCAGAGGGCCUAAGCUCUAGGGUCAAAUGGCGGGAAGUAUCAAGUCGAAGAUAUUAUGGCUUCUAUACAUCUUCUAUUUUCUUUAAAUGGAAGUUGAUGUCGGUUUGGUGAUCGAAGACUUGGGCUCUUCCAUAGUGUUUCGUAGAGUGAUGGAACACUUAAGUCUCUUAUGAACUAGGCCCAUAUUAUGUAACAUGCCACAACUUGUAUGUUGACUUGAGUAUUUUUUUCAAUGGUUGUAGCAAGGAAAACUAAUGGGUCUUCUAUAUAUGUUGAAUAAAUGCGUUGGUCAAUGGCAUUUUGUGAUGAAUAGAAGAGUGUAAUUGUUGGUAUAUCUAUUGCAAAGUGAACAUGAAUUGAAUAUUUUGAAUUUA